AGUGAACGCUGGCGGGAGGCCUAACACAUGCAAGUCGAACGGCAGCACAGGAGAGCUUGCUCUCUGGGUGGCGAGCGGCGGACGGGUGAGGAAUACAUCGGAAUCUACUCUGUCGUGGGGUAGAACGUAGGGAAACUUACGCUAAUACCGCAUACGACCUACGGCUGAAAGCAGGGGAUCUUCGGACCUUGAGCGAUGGAAUGAGCCGAUGUCGGAUUAGCUAGUCGGCGGGGUAAAGGCACACCAAGGCGACGAUCCGUAGCUGGUCUGAGAGGAUGAUCAGCCACACUGGAACUGAGACACGGUCCAGACUCCUACGGGAGGCAGCAGUGGGGAAUAUUGGACCAUGGGCGCAAGCCUGAUCCAGCCAUACCGCGUGGGUGAAGAAGGCCUUCGGGUUGUAAAGCCCUUUUGUUGGGAAAGAAAUCCAGCUGGCUAAUACCCGGUUGGGAUGACGGUACCCAAAGAAUAAGCACCGGCUAACUUCGUGCCAGCAGCCGCCGCGG
rnacentral:rRNA from 1 species